AGGCAGGCCUAACACAUGCAAGUCGAGCGGUAGAGAGAAGCUUGCUUCUCUUGAGAGCGGCGGACGGGUGAGUAAUGCCUAGGAAUCUGCCUGGUAGUGGGGGAUAACGUUCGGAAACGGACGCUAAUACCGCAUACGUCCUACGGGAGAAAGCAGGGGACCUUCGGGCCUUGCGCUAUCAGAUGAGCCUAGGUCGGAUUAGCUAGUUGGUGAGGUAAUGGCUCACCAAGGCGACGAUCCGUAACUGGUCUGAGAGGAUGAUCAGUCACACUGGAACUGAGACACGGUCCAGACUCCUACGGGAGGCAGCMGUGGGGAAUAUUKGRCAAUGGGCGAAAGCCUGAUCCAGCCAUGCCGCGUGUGUGAAGAAGGUYUUCGGAUUGUAAAGCACUUUAAGUUGGGAGGAAGGGCAGUAAA
rnacentral:rRNA from 1 species